rnacentral:rRNA from 1 species
CCUACGGGAGGCAGCAGUAGGGAAUAUUGCUCAAUGGGGGAAACCCUGAAGCAGCGACGCCGCGUGGAGGAUGAAGGUUUUCGGAUUGUAAACUCCUUUCGUUAGAGAAGAUAAUGACGGUAUCUAACGAAUAAGCACUGGCUAACUCCGUGCCAGCAGCCGCGGUAAUACGGGGGGUGCAAGCGUUACGCGGAAUCACUGGGCGUAAAGAGCGCGUUGGCUGGAUAGCAAGUCAGAUGUGAAAUCCUAGAGCUUAACCAUAGAACUGCAUUUGAAACUGUUAUUCUAGAGUAUGGGAGAGGUAAGUGGAAUUCUUGGUGUAGGGGUAAAAUCCGUAGAGAUCAAGAGGAAUACU